AGUUGAGAUCAUUGCUAAUGAUCAAGGCAACAGGACUACUCCUUCUUAUGUUGCUUUUACGGAUACUGAACGUCUGAUAAGGGAUGCUGCUAAGAAUCAGGUCGCCAUGAAUCCUACCAACACUGUUUUCGAUGCUAGCUUGACUCCUUUCAUCUCUUUUUGUUUGCUAUGAAGACAAGGUGAAUGAUGCUAUCAAAGUUGAGACAAUUCAAUCUAUUCAGUGCAACGUUACCAGCUUGGGUGAAUCAUACUAUAAUGGCUUGCCCGAUACGCAAAUACAUAUAUUUUCCAUGUUCGCUCUACGUAACGAGUACACACAUCAUAACCUACAAGCGGACUUGGUUGAGUACAUCUGGAACAACGCUCAAAACGAACCCGACGACAUGG